rnacentral:sRNA from 1 species
GCCGGGUGUGGUGGCGCAUGCCUGCAAUCCCAGCGGCUUGGGAGGCUGAGGCAGGAGGAUUGCAAGUUCAAAGCCAGCCUUAGCCAAAGCAAGGCGCUAAGCAACUCAGUGAGUCUCUGUUUCUA